ensembl:lncRNA
ACUAGGAUGUCUAGAAUCAAAAAGACAAAUGAUAACAAGUGUUGGUGAGGAUGUGGAGAAAUCAGGACUGUCACAUACUGCUGGUAGGAAUUUAAAACGGAAGAGUGGCUGUGGAAAACAUUUUGAGUUUUGCUUUGUGGCAAGCCACAAAUAUAUAAGAAUAUAUAAGAACUCCUAGGCCAGGUGCAAUGGCUCACGCCUGUAAUCCCAGCAUUUUGGGAGGCCAAGGUGGGCAGAUCACCUGAGGUCAGGAGUUUGAGACCAGCCUGGCCAACAUGGUGAAACCCCAUCUCUACUAAAAAUGCAAAAAUUAGCCAGGCGUGGUGCUGCAUGCCUGUAAUCCCAGCUACAGGCUGAGGCAUGAGAAUCACUUGAACCCAAAGUUUGCAGUGAGCUGAGAUCACGCCACUGCACUCCAGCCUGGGCAACAGAGUGAGACUCUGUCUCAAAAAAAAAAAAGAAAAGAAAAGAAAAGAAAAAAGUCAGAGAACCCAAAAGAAAAACGGGCAAAGGAUUCAAGCAAAAUAUGAUAUCCAAAUAGUCAAAAAUGUAGAAAAUUCCUCAACCUUAUUAGUAAUCAAAUUAGGUAGAAGUGCAAAUAAAAACAUAAUGAAAUAUAAUAUCAUUACACAUGUUCCAAAUUAGCUGAAAUUUUAAAAUGUGAUAAUGCCAAGAGUUAAAAGCAUUUGACAUUAUCUAGUAAAAUUUAAGAUUCAACUAUUUGUGACCCAGUCAUCUCACUCUUAUGAACCUGUGCUUGUGUCCACUUGGAGUCAUGUACAAGGAUGUUCGCAACAGCAACUGUUUAUCAGCAAUUAAAUGGCUACAUUGUCAUCUGUUCAUACAAUGGUAAAAAUUUGACACUACAGUGAAAAUGAAUGAAGUAUAGCUACAGGCAACAAUAUAUAUGAAUCUUGAAAACCUAAUAUUAAGUAAUGGAAGCCCAGACAAAAGAAUACAUGCUGUCUGAAAUACUUGUUCAUUUAUAUCAAGUUCAAAGCCAGGCAGAACUAAACUUCGACGUUUGGAAAGGCAUACAUGGGCAUUAUAACCAGAAAGUAAAGCAAGGAAAUUAGUACUGCUAAUGUCAAUGUAGUAGUUUCCUCUGGGGGCUGGGAAGGGGAUUUAAUGGCGAAUAGGUACAUAUGAAUCCUGGGUUACUGGCAAUCUAUUCCUAGAUCUAGGGAGUGGCUACACUCUUUAUGUUAACCUAAAUUAAUGUUUAAACACUCUUCCUUUAAUAAAUGGUUUUCUAAAGUAAUCUAAAAAACCCAAAACAGGCCAGGCGCGGUGGCUCAAGCCUGUAAUCCCCGCACUUUGGGAGGCCGAGACGGGCGGAUCACGAGGUCAGGAGAUUGAGACCAUCCUGGCUAACCCGGUGAAACCCCGUCUCUACUAAAAAUACAAAAACUAGCCGGGCAAGGUGGCGGCGCCUGUAGUCCCAGCUACCGGGAGGCUGAGGCAGGAGAAUGGCGUAAACCCGGAGGCAGAGCUUGCAGUGAGCUGAGAUCCGGCCACUGCACUCCAGCCUGGGGGACAGAGCGAGACUCCGUCUCAAAAAAAAAAAAAACAAAAA